rnacentral:lncRNA from 1 species
UUAACCCUUUGCUUGCUAAUAGACAUUUGGAUUAUUUACAGUUUUCUGUUAUUGUAAAUGAAUAUCAUCUAUGUGCAAGCAUUUAUGUGGUUUGAUCCUAUAAUUUGACCAUAUAAAUCAUUCGAAAUCAUAAACAUUUGAAUACCGUGGAUCAAGAUCACCUAUGUACAAGUUUUUGUACAUAAAAAGUAUCUUUGUGCCUGCAGGGAAGGGGGAGCCGUCGGCAGCCCCAAGCGCUGCUCCUGAAGCUUCCUCCAGGAGUGGACUCAGGGAGGGGAUCCCAGGCAGUGAGGUCACUUCUUUCACAACAGAGGCCAACAGAACUUGGGAAUCCCUGCACCGGGCCCCCACAGUCUAGUGCAGCCCCACCUCAGGCUCACUUUCAGGAGACUUCGGCUACUGAAAGAUGUUCCCUAAUCACUUUCCCAGUUUCGAGCAAUGCCAGGAACCCCAGGGAUGCGUCUGCUUCGAAUGCUGGAUGCGUCUGCUUCGAAUGCUGGAGACGUUGGUGCCACCGUCAAACCCAAUGCCUCAGGGAGUUUUUCAGGAGGCGCCGGAGGAGGCAGCGGAGGCGGGAGGAAGAGGACAUCCCCCACACCCUGGUGGUGAUCAGGAAGGAGCCCAGCACAGCUAACGGAGGCCUGCAAGGGUUCAAGACGCGGCCGCCUCAGAUUGGCCACUGAGCUCCGUCAGCCGAGGUCCGCGGAGACCAGGGUGCCCGCCCGCGAAGUCCCCUCUCCAGUGUUGGUUUGCAAUAAAUCUGUAUUUAAGCACGUCGGCA